GUUCGAGUUAACGGGAAGUUUCAGAGCGAGCAGGCGAGGUCGGCAGGUCUGUCCUCGGUUAAAGCUCCUGCAGACGAAGAGGUCAGAAAAACAGCUAAACACCGCGGAUGAAGAUCAACCCUUUCAAAUGCUUCAGACGUCAAGGAAACAGGUCAGCGUGGAAGAUCGAAGAAGAUUUCUGUGAGCCAGAAAAAAAGAUGGUGUAACAAGCAGACACCCAUUCAGAGGAGGAGGAGGAGGAGGAGGAGGAGGAGGAGGAGGAGGAGGUCAGACUCAUUCAGAGGGUUUUCAGGACUAGGCGGUGUGUCCUGAGGUCCUCGCUGAAGUUCUCAUGGAGUAAAUUCACCAUCUCCUUCUGAGUAUUUCUUAAGGUCUUCUGCACACAGAAGCUACAUCAGAACACCUUGAAGUAACACACUUGCGCCACUCACUUAGGUCUUAGCCCCGCCCACCAGAGAUAAAGGAGAGAUCCGAGGAAACGAGAAGAGGAGACAGUAAACGAGGAAAUUGGAUCUAAGAGACUUUGGUCAUCCUGGAGCGAGAGUCCUGUCUGCGGUGACCAGCUGAUGGUGGUAGAAGAUCCGUGUUUGUCUCUGACCUGCUCUGGGUUCAUCCUCGGACCUGCCAAUGCAUCUGAAUUUCAUCAAUUAUUCAAUAUUUUCAUCCAUGUUCAGAGGAUCUAUGUUAAUCAAUAGACGCUUCUGUUUUUAUUCCACAUUUCCUAAAGAGGCGGUAGUCCCUCUGUCGUAAAUCCUCUUUGAUAAGCAGUGAUAGAUUUCUCAGUAAAAUUCGUCCAUGUUUUCUCUGAAGAACCACAAUCCCUCUAAACCUAAUCCUAAUCUGGACCAACCGUAAUCUUCCACGUCAUCAGAACCAACUUUCAACCAAUCAUAUAGCGUGACUUCAUCAGAAGGCGCCGGGCCUGGAGUGGAUCUGGUGCCUCCACCGUUCAUGACGUUGUUGAUGAAGAGGUGAAGGACUGUCACACCUGUGUCAGAGCGCCGCUCACCUGCCGCUCUCUUCCUCCUCUUUUUUUCGGACUUGUUUAGUUUCAUAGCCGAUCUGAAUUCAGGUGAUCAAGAAAGAGUCGAGUUGUUGUCAAACUGUUGCUAGGUAACCAGAGGAUGUAACAGGGUGUCCUUGGACCUGUCAGUGUGAGACUCUUGUCCCUGAGUAAUAAAUGAGUUAACUUUCUGGCAGGUGAUCACAUGACCCUGUCCACAAAGAGACCGAGUCAAUGAGGACAUUUCUUUGUCUUCUUCUUUUGUCUUCGUGUUUUCAGCUGGCCGUCCGUCCGUCCGUCCGUCACGCUCCACACAGCUCUGAGUGAUUCAGCUCUCAGCAUCCUGUCCAAUUAUCUCCUGAUGAGCUUCAGAGGAUAAUCAUCCGUCCUCAGGUUGAUGAUAUUUAUUCAGCCGUGUGGGCGUCAUUAUUCUCUCCGUCUGAGUUAAAGCUGCUCUCUCUCUCUCUCUCUGUCUGUCUGUCUGUCUACCAGCAGCACAUGAAUUUUUGAUGUUUCUGCCCCCGAGCUGCUCAGAGUCAACACGGCGUCUCCACUGAGUGAAAAACGGCCAACUCUCAUCCUGUCCCCCGUCUGCUCCGAGUCAGAGGUUCUGCGCCGAGGAACGUCCACGUCUCUUUGUUUGGUGUGUUGUUUUUUCAGACGGCUGUGGAGGGUUUCUACACUCAUUAUCUUUAUUGUGUGAGUUACAGCGCUCAGAUAUCUCACAGCUCUGCAGGGACCGAGCUCACUGCCCCGUGGACAUCUAUUCAUCUAAUUAACAUGUGAGUUUAGACGCAGCCGACGACGCGAGGCCGAGCUGCUGCUACAUGAUGAGGAGGAGUUUGAAGCACCUUCCUCACAAGCUCAUUUCUAAGAAGUUCACGCACCUUCAUUAUAAAUUCCUGCACACUCAGCUGAGUAGAUGCUUUUCCGUUUUUCUUGGCUCACUUUGAGACACGACGUCAGGACGUACGGUCGCUCCCCUCCAGUCCUGAAGAUGUCAAAGGUGGGGUCGCCAACCCUCCCUCGGAACAAUUCAAGUCAUCCCGUUUUUAGAAACAAAAGGAGGCGUCCUGUAUUUGAGCUGAAAAGGGACAAAUCUACUUAAAGGGAUAUUCCGGCGUAAUAUCCCUUGCUUCUCUAGUUAUACCAACUUUAGUAACGACCGCAGGAUAGAAAUACACAGCGGUCUGAGGAGCCAUAAACAAACCUCAGGAAACUAAGACCAGUACGAGCUGGAUCUGAGUCCUCGCUGAUACUGAAACCUGGAGCUGAUCCGUUAGCCAAGGACAGCAAAUAUAGCUAAAGAAGAAGUUAACGGGUGCUGACACUGAACCUCGGCAUUAAUAAGGAGUCAUUCUACAUCCACACGCUGUGUGAAAAUUAACACCCCGACCUGAAUGGAGUAUCUCUUAACAUCUGGGGGUUUUAGGGUUCAUGUCGGGCUGAGGUCAUGAGCAUCAUCAUGGUGUACGUGGACCAGAAACCAUCAGAGCCCUCUGACCCCUUAAAAACAGUCCGUUUCCAUGAAUCAGGAAAAAGUCGCGAUGCUGA